rnacentral:rRNA from 1 species
ACACGUGCUACAAUGGGUAGUACAGAGGGUUGCCAAGCCGUAAGGUGGAGCUAAUCCCUUAAAGCUACUCUCAGUUCGGAUUGUAGGCUGAAACUCGCCUACAUGAAGCUGGAGUUACUAGUAAUCGCAGAUCAGAAUGCUGCGGUGAAUGCGUUCCCGGGUCUUGUACACACCGCCCGUCACACCACGGGAGUUGGAGACGCCCGAAGCCGAUUAUCUAACCUUUUGGAAGAAGUCGUCGAAGGUGGAAUCAAUAACUGGGGUGAAGUCGUAACAAGGUAGCCGUAUCGGAAGGUGCGGCUGGAUCACCUCCUUUCUAAGGAGA